CAGAAGUGAGAAGAGAGGCACAGAUCUCUCCUGGCUCUGACAGCUGCAGUUCAGCCUCCCACCUAUCCCAUCUCUGACAACCUGCUCUGACAGUCCCAGUGUGAGGAAAGUUGCUACAUUACCCUUGAGAAGAGAAUAACAUCCCCUACAAGCAGAAGCCAGCAGAACUUCCCAAAAGUUGUCUAAGGGUCUCUUGCUGGAGGAAAAAGGUCUGAAAAAAUUGAGGUUGCACAGUGGCUGUACCCAUGGAGAAGGAGAAAGGGGCGUAUCUCCAAGUAACUUUGGUCACAUCUCACAAUGGAUAAAUCUUGCUUCUCAAAGCAGUGUGCAGAAAGGCCAGAUGAAAUACAGAAGGACAAAGCCCACCAAGCUCUGUGCAGCCAUGUCUGGUGAUGUGUUUCAUCUCAACUACCUUCAUGCACCAGCUUCUAUGGGCAUU